rnacentral:rRNA from 1 species
CCAAUAGCGUAUAUUAAAGUUGUUGCAGUUAAAAAGCUCGUAGUUGAAUUUUGGGUCUGGCCGGGCGGUCCGCCCUCCGGGUGAGUACUGUUCCGACGCCGGGCCUAUCCUUCUGGAGAGUCGGCAUGUCCUUUGUUGGGUGUGCCGGGGAACCAGGACCAUUACCUUGAAAAAAUUAGAGUGUUCAAAGCAGGCGUAUGCUCGGAUACAUUAGCAUGGAAUAAUGAAAUAGGACGCGUGGUGCUAUUUUGUUGGUUUCUAGAACCGCCGUAAUGAUUAAUAGGGAUAGUUGGGGGCAUUAGUAUUCAAUUGUCAGAGGUGAAAUUCUUGGAUUUAUUGAAGACUAACUUCUGCGAAAGCAUUUGCCAAGGAUGUUUUCAUUAAUCAAGAACGAAAGUUAGGGGAUCGAAGACGAUCAGAUACCGUCGUAGUCUUAACCAUAAACUAUGCCGACUAGGAAUCGGGCGAUGUUAUUCUCAUGACUCGCCCGGCGCCUUAUG